AUUGAACGCUAGCGGCAUGCUUAACACAUGCAAGUCGAGCGAGCGGCGGACGGGUGAGUAAUGUCUUGGAAACUGCCUGAUGGCGGGGGAUAACUACUGGAAACGGUAGCUAAUACCGCAUACUAUCGGAUCUGCCCAGAUGGGAUUAGCUAGUAGGUGGGGUAAUGGCUCACCUAGGCGACGAUCCAUAGCUGGUCUGAGAGGAUGACCAGCCACACUGGACAUGAGACACGGUCCAGACUCCUACGGGAGGCAGCAGUGGGGAAUAUUGGACAAUGGGCGCAAGCCUGAUGCAGCCAUGCCGCGUGUGUGAAGAAGGCCCUAGGGUUGUAAAGUACUUUGAGUCGGGAAGCGGUACCGACAGAAGAAGCACCGGCUAACUCCGUGCCAGCAGCCGCGGUAAUUC
rnacentral:rRNA from 1 species